rnacentral:rRNA from 1 species
CGGACGGGUGAGGAACGCGUGGAGAACCUGCCCCGGUGUGGGGGAUACCCGCCAGAAAUGGCGGUUAAGACCGCAUACGAGCAUCUGGCGGUGGCUGGAUGGGGAAAAGCCUUUGGGCUGCACUGGGAGGGGUCCGCGUCGGAUUAGCUAGUUGGUGGGGUAACGGCCUACCAAGGCUGCGAUCCGUAGCUGGUCUGAGAGGACGGCCAGCCACACUGGGACUGAGACACGGCCCAG